ACUGCUCUGCAACAUUGGCUCCUCUGCUCUGCUAUACCUGUCUUUCUUGCUCUACUGCAGCCGUGCCGCCUAUCCAUGUUGCUUAAGAUCUGAUUUACCAGAAAAGCAAUUUGCAGAUCCACCCCGCCAGGCUAUUACCGGUAGCUGCUACACGAUGAGCCGUUCACCAUCUCUGAGAACACAAUGUGUAAAAAUACACUAAUACAAUGCAAAGAACCUGUGUAGUAAGGAGUAAUUAACAUUUGGCAGUUAUGGGGGCUGCCAUCAUGCCUGAGCUGUGAUAUAGGCCAUAGAUACAACAGACUGGAGGGGACUCAUUGACCUCUAUGGGAGAGUUUUCUAGGCGUGCUCUGUGACCUUCGCAGAGGUUACAUCAUAUUUGACAUGAAAAAUUAAGUAUUCCACGUUAUUAUUCCCUCUGAAAUAACAAACACGAUGACAGAAACCCCAUGAAACCAUUAAAAGUCAGCAGGGUCUGUCAGAUGCCGAGGAAUGUUCAAUGGACGUUUGAACAGAACCUAACAUGCAUCAAUGCAAAGAAGUACCGAAAAAUGCACAGACAAUACUGGCAAAUCAUAUAGACCAGUGAUGCCCAACCUGUGGCCCUCCAGCUGUUGUAAAACUACAACUCCCACCAUGCCCUGUUGUAGGCUGAUACAUGGAGUCCAGGCAUGCUGGGAGUUGUAGUUUUGCAACAGCUGGAGGGCCGCAGGUUGGGCAUCCCUGAUACGGGACCAAUACGGGACACUAUACUUCAACGCGCUUCAUCCAGAGGACCAAUUGUGACCUUUUUCAUUGAGGGUAUCCACAUUUAUGGGAUUUUUUUAGAUCAUACCAUGUGAUUCUAAUAAAAUUUUAUUUUUCUGUAAACUAGUUCUGUGUGGUUUUCCGUUUAAGGUUUUUCU